GACGAACGCUGGCGGCGUGCUUAACACAUGCAAGUCGAACGGAAAGGCCCUGCUUUUGUGGGGUGCUCGAGUGGCGAACGGGUGAGUAACACGUGAGUAACCUGCCCUUGACUUUGGGAUAACUUCAGGAAACUGGGGCUAAUACCGGAUAGGAGCUCCUGCUGCAUGGUGGGGGUUGGAAAGUUUCGGCGGUUGGGGAUGGACUCGCGGCUUAUCAGCUUGUUGGUGGGGUAGUGGCUUACCAAGGCUUUGACGGGUAGCCGGCCUGAGAGGGUGACCGGCCACAUUGGGACUGAGAUACGGCCCAGACUCCUACGGGAGGCAGCAGUGGGAAAUAUGGCACAAUGGGCGGAAGCCUGAGGCAGCAACGCCGCGGGCGGGAUGACGGCCUUCGGGUUGUAAACCGCUUUCGCCUGUGACGAAGCGUGAGUGACGGUAAUGGGUAAAGAAGCACCGGCUAACUACGUG
rnacentral:rRNA from 1 species